rnacentral:rRNA from 1 species
GGACGAACGCUGGCGGCGUGCCUAACACAUGCAAGUCGAACGGAGAAUUUCAAUAAGCUGCUUAGAGAAAUUUUAGUGGCGGACGGGUUGGGUAACCUACCCAUAAACCCGGGACAACCCUUGGAAACGAGGGCUAAUACCGGAUAAUCUUUGGGAGUGGCAUCACUCUUUAAGAAAAGGUGGCCUCUGUAUAUG